UACGAGUGGUCCAAGCGUUAUCCGGUUUUAUUGGGCGUAAAGGGUCCGCAGGUGGUUUGAUAAGUCUGGUGUUAAAUCCUGGCGCUCAACGUCAGGGCCGCAUCGGAAACUAUUAGACUAGAGGCCGGGAGAGGCAGAUAGAAUUGUCGGUGUAGUAGUAAAAUGCGUUAAUAUCGACAGGAAUACCAAAGGCGAAGGCAUUCUGCUAGAACGGUUCUGACACUCAGGGACGAAAGCGUGGGGAGCGAAUGGG
rnacentral:misc_RNA from 1 species